AGCUCCAAUAGCGUAUAUUAAAUUUGUUGCGGUUAAAAAGCUCGUAGUUGGAUUUCUGUCGAGGACGGUCGGUCCCAGCUUAGUCUGAUGUAUCUGACUCGGCCUUGGCAUCCUCUUGGGGAACGUUGCGGUGCUUCAUUGUAUCGGACGGAAUUCAAGACUUUUACUUUGAGGAAAUUAGAGUGUUCACGGCAGGCAAUCGCCUUGAAUAUAUUAGCAUGGAAUAAUAAUAUAGGACCUUGGUACUAUUUUGUUGGUUUCUAGAACUAAGGUAAUGAUUAAUAGGGAUAAUUGGGGGCAUUCGUAUUAACGCGUCAGAGGUGAAAUUCUUGGAUUGCGUUACGGCGAACUACUGCGAAAGCAUUUGCCAAGGAUGUUUUCA
rnacentral:rRNA from 1 species